rnacentral:rRNA from 1 species
ACGUAGGGGGCAAGCGUUAUCCGGAUUUACUGGGUGUAAAGGGAGCGUAGACGGAACGGCAAGUUUGAAGUGAAAUACCCGGGCUUAACUCGGGAACUGCUUUGAAAACUGUCGAUCUAGAGUGUCGGAGAGGUAAGUGGAAUUCCUGGUGUAGUAGUGAAAUGCGUAGAUAUCAGGAAGAACACCGGAGGCGAAGGCGGCUUACUGGACGAUAACUGACGUUGAGGCUCGAAAGCGUGGGGAGCAAACAG